rnacentral:rRNA from 1 species
CAACAGGGAUUGCCCCAGUAACGGCGAGUGAAGCGGCAAGAGCUCAAAUUUGAAAGCUGGCUCCUUCGGGGUCCGCAUUGUAAUUUGCAGAGGAUGCUUCGGGAGCGGUCCCCAUCUAAGUGCCCUGGAACGGGACGUCAUAGAGGGUGAGAAUCCCGUAUGGGAUGGGGUGUCCGCGCCCGUGUGAAGCUCCUUCGACGAGUCGAGUUGUUUGGGAAUGCAGCUCUAAAUGGGUGGUAAAUUUCAUCUAAAGCUAAAUAUUGGCCGGAGACCGAUAGCGCACAAGUAGAGUGAUCGAAAGAUGAAAAGCACUUUGAAAAGAGAGUUAAAAAGCACGUGAAAUUGUUGAAAGGGAAGCGCUUGCGACCAGACUCGCUCGCGGGGUUCAGCCGGCAUUCGUGCCGGUGUACUUCCCCGCGGGCGGGCCAGCGUCGGUUUGGGCGGUCGGUCAAAGGCCCUCGGAAGGUAACGCCCCUAGGGGCGUCUUAUAGCCGAGGGUGCAAUGCGACCUGCCUAGACCGAGGAACGCGCUUCGGCUCGGACGCUGGCAUAAUGGUCGUAAGCGACCCGUCUUGAAACACG